rnacentral:ncRNA from 1 species
UAAUUUUUCCGUCAAAGCAUUUGAAAGAAUGUGACGCAAAGCUAAAGUGCUUAAGUUAAUUAUAUGGUUGCCAGUUGCACGU